rnacentral:rRNA from 1 species
ACAAUGGGGGAAACCCUGAUGCAGCCAUGCCGCGUGUGUGAAGAAGGCCUUCGGGUUGUAAAGCACUUUCAGUAGGGAGGAAGGUAGUGUAGUUAACACCUGCAUUAUUUGACGUUACCUACAGAAGAAGCACCGGCUAACUCCGUGCCAGCAGCCGCGGUAAUACGGAGGGUGCGAGCGUUAAUCGGAAUUACUGGGCGUAAAGCGCAUGCAGGCGGCCUGUUAAGUCAGAUGUGAAAGCCCGGGGCUUAACCUCGGAAUUGCAUUUGAAACUGGCAGGCUAGAGUCUUGUAGAGGGGGUAGAAUUUCAGGUGUAGCGGUGAAAUGCGUAGAGAUCUGAAGGAAUACCAGUGGCGAAGGCGGCCCCCUGGACAAAGACUGACGCUCAGAUGCGAAAGCGUGGGGAGCAAACAGGAUUAGAUACCCUGGUAG